rnacentral:lncRNA from 1 species
GGAAGGGAGGGAGCAGGGAAUGGGUCUGAUCAAAACACCUUCCAUUGAGAUCUCCUCCUGUGGAGAGGAGGCCUUGCCUUCUUUCCUCAGACCAUGCCUUUGUCUCACAGUCCAACCUAUCUCUCCCUGGAAGCCCACUGACCAUGCUCACCAGGGAAUGAGAAGGCAAUCCCCACUCUCCUUCCUGCCCUCCAUUCCCAGCACUGUAACAGAUCACUUGCUAACUCUUCCCGCUCUUUCUCCAGAGAUCCUCAGCUUUCCUCCCGCCUGCCCAUUCUCUUAGCCCCCAGCUCUCCUAGCCCAUCCUCAUUCCUAUAUGUCAACUCAAAACACCUAGGAACAAGUCUACCAGGACAUCCAGUAGCCACACCUGCCAUGGACACAGAGCAUGCCUUACCAGGCAAUGCACAGCCACUGUACACUCCUAAGAGCCAGAGCGGGCAACAGAAGCCAAGGACCAGAAAACUCACCCAAC